rnacentral:rRNA from 1 species
ACGAACGCUGGCGGCAUGCCUAAUACAUGCAAGUCGAGCGAGCGGAACUAACAGAUUUACCUCGGUAAUGACGUUAGGAAAGCGAGCGGCGGAUGGGUGAGUAACACGUGGGGAACCUGCCCCAUAGUCUGGGAUACCACUUGGAAACAGGUGCUAAUACCGGAUAAGAAAGCAGAUCGCAUGAUCAGCUUUUAAAAGGCGGCGUAAGCUGUCGCUAUGGGAUGGCCCCGCGGUGCAUUAGCUAGUUGGUAAGGUAAAGGCCUACCAAGGCGAUGAUGCAUAGCCG